GUGCGCAAACUUACAUCUCAGCUUCUCGUCCAGAGUGCCCCGAGAAGUCACCGACAAGGCCUGGAUGAACUCGGAGAACUCGAUACGCCCGUCCUGGAGAGUGACAACAAAAGAGAGAGAGGAAGAAUGACGCGCCGGGUAUUCGGCUUCAGCAGGGACACAGCAGACGUGACACUGUGCAUCAGACUCGACUGUGAGAGCCAGCAUGAGGAUACAGUAUUUAUUACUGGCACCAGCUCAGCUCCUUGGCAUCCACCAUGGUGGCCUCGCUAAAGCAUUGUACGGGAACUUUCUCUUGCUGCUGCCCAGCUGGCCGGAACAUCACUGCGCUAUGGCAUUUUUGUCAUUGAUUUCAGGAUUUCCUUUGAAAAAAAAAGACGCGACGUUACUCACAGUAGGUUUUCCUCGUCAGCUCCUCCACCACCUCGGGUUUGAGCUUGCUGUUGGAUUUACCCAUGAU